UAGGACCAAUUUCAUUCAUGACUUUGAAAAAAAUAAAAGAAUCAAAAGAAAAAACAGAAACGAAAACCAAUCCUUUCUCAUUUACCAUAGUUGCUUGCGUGGCGUUACCAAAAACUCCUAUCAAGGGCCAAACGAAUUUCUGUCUGCAUAUUUCAAGUUGAGGCUUCCGUGGUGCCAGUGUGCUGCUGCUACUUUUGAUUCUGAACGUUGAACUAUCGACGGCUAGCUAUGCAUAUUAGCAUUAGCUACUCCUCACUCGGAGAACGUACAUCUAAAGCCUUUCUUAGUUAGAGACAAUUGAACGAAGGUCGGCUGUUUGUUGGGAGAUAACAAAUACGCAGGAAAACAAUCCCAGACAAAUGCUCUCGAAGCCGCUAGCUGUUUCUUCAGCAUCAUGCAUGGGAUCCAUCCCAAAAGGGUGUUUGCUUGGGCUUAAAGGAGUUCAAUGGUAUUAAGACAAAUAGCAUCUCCUCUUGUAAAAUAACGAGCAAAAGCUAAUGUUUGAGGCAUGCAAAAAAUGGGGUGAGUUUUCACAAGUGAAGAAGAAGAUGAAAGAGAGGAAUCCAAAGAAAGUUCCUGGUUUUAGUAGGAUAGAAGUGAAGGGCAAGACUCAAGAGUAAUGUAUUCUUUGUUGGGGACAAAUAUCAUCCUCAGGAUGAAUAAAUUUAUGGACUGCUUCGAGAGAAGCUUCUUCCCAUAAUGUUGGAGACGGGUUAUACACGAGAAAUAUGUUCUGGUUUAUUAAAAAAGAAAUUAAAUUGACUGUUUU